rnacentral:rRNA from 1 species
UACGGGGGGAGCAAGCGUUGUUCGGAUUUACUGGGCGUAAAGGGCGCGUAGGCGGCCUGUGCAAGUCAGUUGUGAAAUCUCCGAGCUUAACUCGGAACGGUCAACUGAUACUGCUCGGCUAGAGUGCGGAAGGGGCAACUGGAAUUCUUGGUGUAGCGGUGAAAUGCGUAGAUAUCAAGAGGAACACCUGCGGCGAAGGCGGGUUGCUGGGCCGACACUGACGCUGAUGCGCGAAAGCUAGGGGAGCGAACGGG